rnacentral:rRNA from 1 species
GACGAACGCUGGCGGCGCGCUUAACACAUGCAAGUCGAACGGAAAGGCCUGCUUUCCCUUGUGGAUUGCGGGUACUCGAGUGGCGAACGGGUGAGUAACACGUGAGUGAUCUGCCCCCAACUUGGGUAUAAGCCUGGGAAACUGGGUCUAAUUCCCGAUAGGACUGCAGGGUGGUGCCUGUGGUGGAAAACGAUUUUCUAGUGGUUGGGGAUGAGCUCGCGGCCUAUCAGCUUGUUGGUGGGGUAAUGGCUUACCAAGGCGGCGACGGGUAGCCGGCCUGGGAGGGUGGACGGGCACAUUGGGACUGAGAUACGGCCCAGACUCCUACGGGAGGCAGCAGUGGGGAAUAUUGGACAAUGGGCGGAAGCCUGAUGCAGCGACGCCGCGUGGGGGAUGACGGCCUUCGGGUUGUAAACUCCUUUCGACCGCGAGGAAGCCACCUGGUUGGAAGGGUGGUGACGGUAGUGGUAGAAGAAGCACCGGCUAACUACGCG